rnacentral:rRNA from 1 species
GGUUAAGCUGAAGAGGCGGAGCCGCAGCGAAAGCGAGUCUGAAUAGGGCGUUUAGUACGUGGUCGUAGACCCGAAACCAGGUGAUCUACCCAUGUCCAGGGUGAAGUUCAGGUAACACUGAAUGGAGGCCCGAACCCACGCACGUUGAAAAGUGCGGGGAUGAGGUGUGGGUAGCGGAGAAAUUCCAAUCGAACCUGGAGAUAGCUGGUUCUCCCCGAAAUAGCUUUAGGGCUAGCCUUAAGUGUAAGAGUCUUGGAGGUAGAGCACUGAUUGAACUAGGGGUCCUCAUCGGAUUACCGAAUUCAGUCAAACUCCGAAUGCCAAUGACUUAUCCUUAGGAGUCAGACUGCGAGUGAUAAGAUCCGUAGUCAAGAGGGAAACAGCCCAGAUCGCCAGCUAAGGUCCCAAAGUGUGUAUUAAGUGGAAAAGGAUGUGGAGUUGCUUAGACAACUAGGAUGUUGGCUCAGAAGCAGCCACCAUUUAAAGAGUGCGUAAUAGCUCACUAGUCGAGUGACUCUGCGCCGAAAAUGUACCGGGGCUAAAUACACCACCGAAGCUGCGAAUUGAUACCAAUGGUAUCAGUGGUAGGGGAGCGUUCUAAGUGCAGUGAAGUCAGACCGGAAGGACUGGUGGAGCGCUUAGAAGUGAGAAUGCCGGUAUGAGUAGCGAAAGACGGGUGAGAAUCCCGUCCACCGAAUGCCUAAGGUUUCCUGAGGAAGGCUCGUCCGCUCAGGGUUAGUCAGGACCUAAGCCGAGGCCGACAGGCGUAGGCGAUGGACAACAGGUUGAUAUUCCUGUACCACCUCUUUAUCGUUUGAGCAAUGGAGGGACGCAGAAGGAUAGAAGAAGCGUGCGAUUGGUUGUGCACGUCCAAGCAGUUAGGCUGAUAAGUAGGCAAAUCCGCUUAUCGUGAAGGCUGAGCUGUGAUGGGGAAGCUCCUUAUGGAGCGAAGUCUUUGAUUCCCCGCUGCCAAGAAAAGCUUCUAGCGAGAUAAAAGGUGCCUGUACCGCAAACCGACACAGGUAGGCGAGGAGAGAAUCCUAAGGUGUGCGAGAGAACUCUGGUUAAGGAACUCGGCAAAAUGACCCCGUAACUUCGGGAGAAGGGGUGCUUUCUUAACGGAAAGCCGCAGUGAAUAGGCCCAAGCGACUGUUUAGCAAAAACACAGGUCUCUGCGAAGCCGUAAGGCGAAGUAUAGGGGCUGACACCUGCCCGGUGCUGGAAGGUUAAGGAGAGGGGUUAGCGUAAGCGAAGCUCUGAACUGAAGCCCCAGUAAACGGCGGCCGUAACUAUAACGGUCCUAAGGUAGCGAAAUUCCUUGUCGGGUAAGUUCCGACCCGCACGAAAGGUGUAACGAUUUGGGCACUGUCUCAACCAGAGACUCGGUGAAAUUAUAGUACCUGUGAAGAUGCAGGUUACCCGCGACAGGACGGAAAGACCCCGUGGAGCUUUACUGUAGCCUGAUAUUGAAUUUUGGUACAGUUUGUACAGGAUAGGCGGGAGCCAUUGAAACCGGAGCGCUAGCUUCGGUGGAGGCGCUGGUGGGAUACCGCCCUGACUGUAUUGAAAUUCUAACCUACGGGUCUUAUCGACCCGGGAGACAGUGUCAGGUGGGCAGUUUGACUGGGGCGGUCGCCUCCUAAAGUGUAACGGAGGCGCCCAAAGGUUCCCUCAGAAUGGUUGGAAAUCAUUCGUAGAGUGCAAAGGCAUAAGGGAGCUUGACUGCGAGACCUACAAGUCGAGCAGGGACGAAAGUCGGGCUUAGUGAUCCGGUGGUUCCGCAUGGAAGGGCCAUCGCUCAACGGAUAAAAGCUACCCCGGGGAUAACAGGCUUAUCUCCCCCAAGAGUCCACAUCGACGGGGAGGUUUGGCACCUCGAUGUCGGCUCAUCGCAUCCUGGGGCUGUAGUCGGUCCCAAGGGUUGGGCUGUUCGCCCAUUAAAGCGGUACGCGAGCUGGGUUCAGAACGUCGUGAGACAGUUCGGUCCCUAUCCGUCGUGGGCGCAGGAAAUUUGAGAGGAGCUGUCCUUAGUACGAGAGGACCGGGAUGGACGCACCGCUGGUGUACCAGUUGUUCUGCCAAGGGCAUAGCUGGGUAGCUAUGUGCGGAAGGGAUAAGUGCUGAAAGCAUCUAAGCAUGAAGCCCCCCUCAAGAUGAGAUUUCCCAUAGCGUAAGCUAGUAAGAUCCCUGAAAGAUGAUCAGGUUGAUAGGUUCGAGGUGGAAGCAUGGUGACAUGUGGAGCUGACGAAUACUAAUAGAUCGAGGACUUAACCA